rnacentral:lncRNA from 1 species
GCCACAAAGGCAGCGAGUAGAGCCCGGUGACAGGCCUUCGGCCUCUGGGCGCGGACAGCACGGCCGGGUCCCUUCGGUGGGCGACGCGAGGCGGCAGGGAAGGCAGGCACGGCUCCCAGAUAGGCGACUACAUCUCUGGAAGCAGCAGCUCCAUGCUGGAUGUGGUGGAAGAAUCGAGAGGGAAUGGACUGGAAGUUUGGAAUCACCGGAAAAUAACAAGGCAUAGCUAAGCUGUGACUAGCAAGAUAAACGAUUUGUUCGAGGUUUGAUUGUCCUUUCCCUCCUCCACUCGGAAGACAUAGUUGUCUUUUUUUAAAUCAUGUUUUGUACCGAAAUAUUUUUAUUUUAUAAUUGAAUCCCUGUUGUUGGGCCUUUAAAAACCCAUAGAAACAUUGUUAUGUGCCACGAAGGUGGGAAACACGGCUUUCUCAGUCAUUGCUGUACUCCCACAAUUCUGGGUCAUGCACACAAUACAGGUUUAGUAAAUAAAAUCCGUAUGUUUUUGGCCCCA